ensembl:lincRNA
CCAGUACCGAUUGGCAUCCGUGGUUUUAACUGUUGACGUCAUCACUCGGGCUGUUUUACGUUCCGUAAAUGAUAAACCGCUUCGUUUCAAAGGGCUAGAGAGUGGUACACUGUGGUUACAACAUGUUGCAAUUUGUUUCGGGUGGAUUGCAGGAAGACUCGAGGACCUCUGGGUCUGCUGUUCUGGUUGCAUCCACGGGCUCAGAGAUUUCCAAGCCUGCUUCCUUUCAGAAAGCACAGGGAGUGAAGAAAGAAUACCUGUGUCCUUACUGCCAUGUCUGUCUGAGUUCACGCAACUGCCUCUAUAAACACAAGCUUCGGAAGCACCCUGAUAGGGCUCAUGGGGAGAAGAAGAGUGCUAUCGCAUGUCUAGAGUGCAGCAAUUACAGGUGGAGUUUCUAAGACUCAAAAAUUUGAGAGGUUUGUGGGGGGAAACAAAAAAAACUUGAAAGACAAAUAACUGCUCAAGGGCCAUCCAGUGCUUUGAGUUACAUGAUGAGCUUUUGCAAGAAACUUGAAAUAUUGUUACUGCUGAAUUUGGAAAUUUGUGUAUUGUGUGUUUUGUUUCAAUCCAAAUUUAUUUUUAUGAGUAAUUUAGAAACACGUUUCAGCUGCAGCAGUACAGACUGGCUUGCAGAAUGGUCUUAAUAGACGUGGUCAUUCCGGGAAGGCAGAGAACAGCUUCAAGACUUGGUAUUAAUUAAUGAGCAGUACACGGGAGAAAAUGUAAAAUCGUAUUUCAU